rnacentral:lncRNA from 1 species
CGCGGCUCUCGCACGGCCCCGGGAACUCCGCGCCCACCGGCCCCGCGCGGCUCUGCCCUCGUCCGCAGCGACCGCGCGGCUCCCCCCGCGCGUGUGCACGAGAUGAUUCACCCGCGUUUAUUCCAUGGAAGCGAUGAUUCAUUCAGCCGGCUCCGGAUCGCGCUAACGCACCGCACGCGCACAGCACGGAUGGAAAAAUCAAGUUCUUAAACUUUGCGACGCUCCAACGUUUAUUUCUUCUACACCGGAGCGGGAGCAACGACGGAGCCCGCCGGGCGGAGCCCCGCGCCGCCGCACGUGGGGUGGGAGCGGAGGACCGGGCCGGGCCCGGUACCUGCGGAGCGCGGCCCCUUAGCGCGGGGCCCGGCGGCUUCGCUCCCUCCGCGGUGACAUCUUACAUAACGCGGAGCGCCGCACCGCCGCCGCGCGUCACCCGGGGACGGCGCCCCGCACGACGGCCGCUCCGGAGCCCCGCGCGCCGCAACGACCCCGGCAGCAGCGCCGUCCGCUCGAGAGCCCCGCGCCGCCCCGCGCUCGGAGAAAGUUACUCGGCGGCCGCGGCGCGAGCUCGGCGUCACGUCCCACAACUACUUAUGACACGGGAUCGCGCCGCCCCGCCCGCCGGGCCCUUACCUUCCCCUGCGCGGCACCGCGGGAAUCCCCACCAUGCACUGCAGGAGUUCCCCCGACUCAUCUGUAAGCGAGUAACUUCCAUCAACUUUCCCUGAAACGUAGCGAUGCAGCGGUCGGCUUCUGCGUGCUGUGACAGAACCAACGCCGUGCCACCUCCCGUGUGAGGUCUGGGCUGCAGCCCCUGCACUCAGCAGCGGUCGCGCUGCGGAUGGUCAGUGGCUGCAAGGCACCUGCCUGUGAGUCUGACCUGUGCUCCUCAAGGCAGAACAGUGAGUGAGCAGUCCUGAAGCAUUUGCUGUAAUCUAUUCAUGAUCCUUUCCAAAUGGAAUUCCAUUAAAAAACAAAAAAAAACAAAAACAUUAUCUAGGGAAGAGUCGUCUUAAGCCUGCUUACUGACGUUUCCAAGGGAUGGAACACCUCUUUUGUGAGGAUUCAUUUUUACUGAGAGAGCUGGGGCCGUGCAGCCUAGGAAGGAGAAGGCUCCAGGGGGACCUGAGAGCGGCCUUUCAGUAUCUUACAGGGCGCUGCAAGAAGGAAAGG